UACCAGCACCCCGAGUGGUCGGGACGUUUAUUGGGCCUAAAGCAUCCGUAGCCGGUUCUACAAGUCUUCCGAUAAAUCCACCUGCUUAACAGAUGGGCUGCGGAGGAUACUACAAGGCUAGGAGGCGGAAGAGGCAAGCGGUACUCAGUGGGUAGGGGUAAAAUCCUCUGAUCCAUUGAAGACCACCAGUGGCGAAGGCGGCUUGCCAAUACGCGCUCGACGGUGAGGGAUGAAAGCUGGGGGAGCAAACCGG
rnacentral:rRNA from 1 species